rnacentral:tRNA from 1 species
GGGGUUGUGGCUCAAUGGUAGAGUGCUUGCCUAACACGUAUGAAGCACUGGGUUCAAUUCUUAGCACCA